rnacentral:lncRNA from 1 species
UUUUUUUCAAUGCGUUUCUUUUGAAAAAUAAAUAUGCUAUGAUGCACAUGAUGCAGACACGACUGGCUGUUUGUGCAAUCUCUGAUCACUAGGUCGAAGCUUUAGUCAAAAUCAGAACAUAAAUCCAACUUAAGGUCAACCGAAAACUGUUGUCUGGACUAGAGUCACCAACAGAACCAAGUCACCAACAGUACCUGUAAUAAUGAUCAUUCCCUUCCCAC